rnacentral:rRNA from 1 species
UGUGCCAGCCGCCGCGGUAAUUCCAGCUCCAAUAGCGUAUAUUAAAGUUGUUGCAGUUAAAAAGCUCGUAGUUGAAACUUGGGCCUGGCUGGCGGGUCCGCCUCACCGCGUGCACUCGUCCGGCCGGGCCUUCCUUCUGAAGAACCUCAUGCCCUUCACUGGGCGUGCUGGGGAAUCAGGACUUUUACUUUGAAAAAAUUAGAGUGUUCAAAGCAGGCCCUUGCUCGAAUACGUUAGCAUGGAAUAAUAAAAUAGGGCGUGCGUUUCUAUUUUGUUGGUUUCUAGAGACGCCGCAAUGAUUAACAGGAACAGUCGGGGGCAUCAGUAUUCAGUUGUCAGAGGUGAAAUUCUUGGAUUUACUGAAGACUAACUACUGCGAAAGCAUUUGCCAAGGAUGUUUUCAUUAAUCAGUGAACGAAAGUUAGGGGAUCGAAGACGAUCAGAUACCGUCGUAGUCUUAACCGUAAACUAUGCCGACUAGGGAUCGGGCGAUGUUCUUUUUCUGACUCGCUCGGCACCUUACGAGAAAUCAAAGUUUUUGGGUUCUGGGGGGAUUAUGGUCGCAAGGCUGAAACUUAAAGAAAUUGACGGAAGGUCACCACCAGGCGUGGAGCCUGCGGCUUAAUUUGACUCAACACGGGGAAACUCACCAGGUCCAGAUGAAAUAAGGAUUGACAGAUUGAGAGCUCUUUCUUGAUUUUUCACGUGGUGGUGCAUGGCCGUUCUUAGUUCGUGGGGUGACUUGUCUGCUUAAUUGCGAUAACGAGCGAGACCUUACUCUGCUAAAUAGCCAGGCUAACUUUGGGUUGGUCGCCGGCUUCUUAGAG